GCCCCUCUAGCUCAGUGGAUAGAGCGCCGGCCUUCGGAUCCGGACGUCGGGAGUUCGAAUCUCUCGAGGGGCG
rnacentral:tRNA from 1 species